rnacentral:rRNA from 1 species
GCAUAUCAAUAAGCGGAGGAAAAGAAACUAACAAGGAUUCCCUUAGUAACGGCGAGUGAACCGGGAAGAGCUCAAAUUUGAAAUCUGGCUGUCUUCGAUAGUCCGAGUUGUAAUCUAUAGAAGCGUUUUCCGUGCUGAACUGUGUAUAAGUCCCUUGGAACAGGGUAUCAAAGAGGGUGACAAUCCCGUACUUUACACAAUCAUCAGUGCUCUGUGAUACGUUCUCUACGAGUCGAGUUGUUUGGGAAUGCAGCUCAAAAUGGGUGGUAAAUUCCAUCUAAAGCUAAAUAUUGGCGAGAGACCGAUAGCGAACAAGUACCGUGAGGGAAAGAUGAAAAGCACUUUGGAAAGAGAGUUAAACAGAACGUGAAAUUGUUAAAAGGGAAACGAUUGAAGUCAGUCGUGUUUAUUGGAUUCAGCCGGUCUUCGGUGUACUUCCUUUAAACGGGUCAACAUCAGUUUUGUCCGGUGGAUAAAGGCAGUAGGAAUGUGGCUCCCUCGGGAGUGUUAUAGCCUAUUGUCACAUACACUGGAGGAGACUGAGGACUGCAGCUCGCCUUUUGGCCGGGGUUCGCCCACGUUCGAGCUUAGGAUGUUGACAUAAUGGCUUUAAACGACCCGUCUUGAAACACGGACC